ensembl:ncRNA F15D3.11 ncRNA
UUUAGGCUUAGGCUUAGGCUUAGGCCUAGGCUUAGGCUUUGGCUUAGGCUUAGGUUUAGGCGUAGGCUUAGGCUUAGGCUUAGUCUCAGGCUUUGGCUUAGACUGAGGCUUAGGAUUAGGCAUAAGCUUAGGCUUAGGCUUAGGCUUAGGCUU